UUUCGCAAUGCCCGAAAGGGUGACGAAGCGACGCCGCGUGUGGGAAGAAGGCCUUCGGGUUGUAAACCACUGUCGGGAGUUAGGAAAUGUAAGGGUGCUAAUAGUAUCCUUGCUUGACUAAGGCUCCGGAGGAAGCCACGGCUAACUCUGUGCCAGCAGCCGCGGUAAUACAGAGGCGGCAAGCGUUGUUCGGAAUUAUUGGGCGUAAAGAGCACGUAGGCGGCCUUGUAAGUCAGUUGUGAAAGCCUUCUGCUUAACGGAAGAACAGCAGCUGAUACUGCAAGGCUAGAGUGCGGAAGGGGAGAGUGGAACUUCUGGUGGAGCGGUGAAAUGCGUAGAUAUCAGAAGGAACACCGGCGGCGAAGGCGACUCUCUGGUCCGUAACUGACGCUGAGUGUGCGAAAGCUAGGGGAGCAAACGGGAUUAGAUACCCCGGUAGUCCUAGCCGUAAACGAUGGGCACUAAGUAGAGGGGUUUUA
rnacentral:rRNA from 2 species